AAUCAAAAUUAACGUAGUACUCGUACGACUCGUACCUAUUUGCAGAAUCUUGAUUUCUGUUGAAUUGGGUGUUAAAUUGGUUUUCAGAGAAGAGAGAGAGCAAGAGAAUGGAUGACAUAGUGGUGCAGCGUGUGUUUGAAGAAGGAGGUCGGGAUUAUAUUCAGCAACCGUCCACUUCUUCUUCCUCUUCUUCGAUUCUUCAAUCUCUCCCUCUUCAUGUGUCUUUUGACCAUGGAUGUUAUUUGCUGAUAAAAUCAAUUCAAGAACUUCGAGGAAAGAGUAAAGGUCUGGUGACUGUGGGAAUUGGAGGUCCGAAUGGCUCGGGAAAAACUAGCUUGGCAGAAAAGGUGACAUCUGUAAUGGGAUGUACUGUUAUCUUGAUGGAGAACUAUCGGAAGGGAGCUGAAGAAUCAAAUGAUUUGGAUUCUAUAGACUUUGAAGCAUUAGUCAGUAAUCUGGAGGAUUUGAUGAAAGGGAGAGAUACUGCAGUACCAAUAUUUGAUUUCCAAGAAAAACAGCGUGUUGGCUCAACAAUUAUAAAGGGGACCUCAUCUGGAGUUGUGAUUGUUGAUGGUACCUAUGCAUUGCACGCUAAAUUGCGGUCAUUGCUGGACAUUCGGGUUGCAGUGCAGGUUGGUGGUGUUCAUUUUAGUCUUCUUUCCAAGGUUCGAUAUGAUAUCGGAGAUUCUUGUUCCCUGGAUAAUCUCAUUGAUAGCAUAUUUCCAUUGUUUAGAAAGCACAUCGAGCCAGAUCUUCAUCAUGCACAGAUCAGAAUCAACAAUAGUUUUGUUUCAUCUUUUAGAGAGGCAAUCUACAAGCUGAAAUGUAAAACCAAGUCACCCAAUGCACAUUCUGAUUACACGCUGAGCGGACAGGAGGUGCAAACAGAUAAUUUUAUUGAGAUGUACCUUCGACCCCCUUCAGCAAAUGAAGAAGCUCGUAUAAAUGAUUGGAUCAAAGUGCGUCAAUCUGGAAUCCGUUAUUAUCUUUCACUUGGUGAUCAGAGAAUUGUUGACAAACAUUUUAUCAUCCGCCCUAAGGCAGAAUUUGAGGUUGGGAAGAUGACACUUGGUGGUUUGCUUCAACUAGGUUAUAACGUUGUUGUCAGUUACAAAAGGGUAUCAUUGACUUUCAACUUUGAAGAAGUUACACUGGCUUUUGAAACAAUUGACUCUCUUGGUGAGACAUUUAUGGUGGUGAGGGGUAGUAAUCGAAAGACCGUUGGGGCUGAAUCGUUGAGAAUGGGUGUUUUUGGACCUUGGAUAACAAAAUCAUAUUUAGAGCUAAUCCUUGAGCAAAAUGGAGUGCCACGCCUUAAUACACCACCACCCUUAGGUAGUACCUCAACAGCACUUAAUCAGGAAAGGGUCAUUUCUGCACCACAGCCUAUUCGCAUAACUCCAGACUUUGUUAGUCAGCUUGAAGAUCUGUCUCAACCGUGGACUCGGUCACCAACCAAGUCUAAGAUGGAACCUGUCUUAGCAACAUGGCAUUUCAUCUCAACAGUUCCAUUAGGUGCUGAUGCUUCUGCUUUAGAUCUCUCUUCUUUCAGGGACAAUAUGCAGCUUGCUCCAAUGCCCGAUUCAUAUGACUUUGAUCGAGGAUUGCUACUUGCUGUUCAAGCUAUACAGGCUUUGCUAGAGAGUAAAGGUCUUCCAAUCUUAGUGGGAAUUGGUGGUCCAAGUGGCUCUGGAAAAACAAGUUUGGCUCACAAAAUGGCCAACAUAAUAGGCUGUGAGGUUGUUUCCCUUGAGAGCUACUACAAGUCUGAGCAUAUAAAGGACUAUAAAUAUGAUGACUUCAGCUCACUUGAUCUUUCUUUGCUCUCAAAGAAUAUCAAUGACAUAAGGAAGAGCAGGAGAGCUAAAAUACCCAUUUUCGAUUUGGAGAGUGGUUUCCGAACCGGCUCCAAGGAUUUAGAAGUUUCUGAAGAUUGUGGGGUGGUUAUCUUUGAAGGGGUUUAUGCUCUGCAUCCUGAUAUUAGAAGGUCACUGGACUUGUGGAUUGCUGUUGUGGGAGGUGUUCAUUCACAUCUAAUUUCUAGAGUUCAAAGGGACAAGAGCAGAGUUGGCUGUAUAUUGUCUCAAAAUGAAGUUAUGAUGGCAGUGUUUCCCAUGUUCCAGCAGCAUAUUGAACCUCAUCUUGUUCAUGCACAUCUCAAAAUUAGAAACGACUUUGAUCCUGUUUUAUCCCCCGAAAGCUCAUUGUUUGUGUUGAAAAGUAACAAACAAGUGGCUUAUCAAGAUAUAUUGAAGAUUCUAGACUCUACUAAGGUCUGCAGCUCUGUACAGAACUUUAUCGACAUAUAUCUUAGGCUUCCUGGAAUACCUUCUAAUGGCCACUUAACGGAAAGUGAUUGUAUACGUGUUAGAAUAUGCGAGGGAAGAUUUGCAUUGCUGAUACGAGAGCCAAUACGAGAAGGCAACUUCAUCAUCCAACCUAAAGUUGAUUUUGAUAUCAGUAGUAGCACCGUGGUUGGGCUUCUUAACCUUGGGUAUCAAGCUGUUGCGUAUAUAGAAGCUUCGGCAUUCAUAUACCAAGAUGGAAAGAUUCUUGUUGAAGUUGAUAAUCUGCAAGACGUGCCAUGUCCCUACAUACAAAUUAAAGGAGUUGAUAAGGAUGCUGUAGUGACUACAGGAUCAAUGCUAAGGCUUGACGGUUCAUACACCACUAAGAGUUAUCUGCAAAUAAUAUUGGAGAGCUUACCAACCCUGGAAAUAAACUCCAGUGGAGUCCACACUCAGCAAGCUGCAAGAUUGCAGGAGCUUGUGGAACUUAUUCAGUCUCAGGGGAGUAGCUCAGCUUCAGAAUCCUCUCCAGGUAGAGAAGGUUUAGCAAUUGACAAUGCAAUAAUUGAAGAUUUGCAGUGCAGAAUCAAGAGGCUUGAACGGUGGCAAACUAUCAAUACUGUAUUAUGGACUUUCUUGAUGUCAGCCCUCAUCGGAUAUUCACUUUAUCAAAGACGCCGUCGGGUUGGGACUAGUUUUCUUGUGGUAUGGUGUCUACGUGUUUAAAUCUGAUAGGUAUCCUGCAUAACUUAAGAAGCGCGAGAGGUUGAUAGGUAUCCUGCAUAACUUCAGUGGUUUCUGGAACACGAAAUCUGUUUACUUUAUAUUGGAGAACCCGGAGUUAUUGAUUGUGAACCUAUUGCAGAAGGCGAUUACCCCAGAAUGGUCUGACAUACUAUUAGAAUUAGUCUACGAAAUUCAAAGCUGGUCUGUGUUAGCAGUGUGGAAGUGAUUCCUGGAGAAAUAACAUGCUCAGAGCCUCAUGCUCAGGAGUCAGGAUAACUCCCCCGGCAAGCAGAAUGGAGUGUUUAUUAUUUAUGAUUUCUGCCUUAAUCAGCCCUUUUAACUGCGUUUUUUGUGAGCAAUUCUUUUGUGAGCGCAGUCAACUCAAUUUCUACAUCUCUAUGCCGAUUUCCAUCCUAUCUCCCUCUCUUGAGUGAACGUGCACCAAGAAUGUACGACUUAUACUCAAGUAUCUAAAGUAGUAGAACGAAGUCAACAUAACAUACCAAUAGCAAAGGCCAAUACUUUCCCGUCCCUAAAUCCUGCAUUUACAUGGUUUUUAAUGUUUGAUUGAUUGAAGUUGAUGAAAAGGUAAAGUUAUUGGACCAUAUAUGUAGUUGAUGGAUCAAAGCAAUAGGAUAACAUGUGUGUAUUAAGGAAA